rnacentral:rRNA from 1 species
AUUGAACGCUGGCGGCAGGCUUAACACAUGCAAGUCGAGCGGAGAUGAGGUGCUUGCACCUUAUCUUAGCGGCGGACGGGUGAGUAAUGCUUAGGAAUCUGCCUAUUAGUGGGGGACGACAUUCCGAAAGGAAUGCUAAUACCGCAUACGCCCUACGGGGGAAAGCAGGGGAUCUUCGGACCUUGCGCUAAUAGAUGAGCCUAAGUCGGAUUAGCUAGUUGGUGGGGUAAAGGCCUACCAAGGCGACGAUCUGUAGCGGGUCUGAGAGGAUGAUCCGCCACACUGGGACUGGGACGCGGCCCAGACUCCUACGGGAGGCAGCAGUGGGGAAUAUUGGACAAUGGGCGGAAGCCUGAUCCAGCCAUGCCGCGUGUGUGAAGAAGGCCUUUUGGUUGUAAAGCACUUUAAGCGAGGAGGAGGCUACCUGGAUUAAUACUCUAGGAUAGUGGACGUUACUCGCAGAAUAAGCACCGGCUAACUCUGUGCCAGCCGCCGCCGUAAGAC